AGCGGGUCUGAGAGGAUGAUCCGCCACACUGGGACUGAGACACGGCCCAGACUCCUACGGGAGGCAGCAGUGGGGAAUAUUGGACAAUGGGCGCAAGCCUGAUCCAGCCAUGCCGCGUGUGUGAAGAAGGCCUUAUGGUUGUAAAGCACUUUAAGCGAGGAGGAGGCUACUGAAGUUAAUACCUUCAGAUAGUGGACGUUACUCGCAGAAUAAGCACCGGCUAACUCUGUGCCAGCAGCCGCGGUAAUACAGAGGGUGCAAGCGUUAAUCGGAUUUACUGGGCGUAAAGCGCGCGUAGGCGGCUAAUUAAGUCAAAUGUGAAAUCCCCGAGCUUAACUUGGGAAUUGCAUUCGAUACUGGUUAGCUAGAGUGUGGGAGAGGAUGGUAGAAUUCCAGGUGUAGCGGUGAAAUGCGUAGAGAUCUGGAGGAAUACCGAUGGCGAAGGCAGCCAUCUGGCCUAACACUGACGCUGAGGUGCGAAAGCAUGGGGAGCAAACAGG
rnacentral:rRNA from 1 species